UACGUAGGCAGCGAGCGUUGUUCGGAAUUACUGGGCGUAAAGAGUGUGUAGGCGGUGUUCCCAGUCUGUUGUGAAAUCUCCCGGCUUAACUGGGAGGGUGCAGCGGAAACUAGAAUGCUAGAGGGUGGGAGAGGUAAGCGGAAUUCCUGGUGUAGCGGUGAAAUGCGUAGAUAUCGGGAGGAACACCUGCGGUGUAGACGGCUUACUGGACCAUAACUGACGCUGAGGCACGAAAGCGUGGGUAGCAAACAGG
rnacentral:rRNA from 1 species